rnacentral:rRNA from 1 species
AGAAAUGGGGCGCAACCAAGCCCGGUGUCCUGUAGUCUAUGCUUGAUGUGCACAUGCAAGGUGGCGACAGCCAACUCCAGAUGGUACCUGCUACUCGGAUAACCGUAGUAAUUCUAGAGCUAAUACGUGCAACAAACCCCGACUUCUGGAAGGGAUGCAUUUAUUAGAUAAAAGGUCAACGCGGGACUCUGCCCGUUGCUCUGAUGAUUCAUGAUAACUCGACGGAUCGCACGGCCUUUGCCCCGGCGACGCAUCAUUCAAAUUUCAGCCCAAUCAACUUUCAAUGGUAGCAUAGUGGCCCACCAUGGUGGUGACGGUGCACGCUAUAAUUAUGAUUCUAUUCCCCAUAGGCAAGCUGUACCACUUAAAGGGCAAGUGCCCAUGCGUGCUGGGACCCGCAAAGUAGGCAAUCCAAUUCACGCUGUUAAAAGAGACACAAAUACAACAAUAACGCGGCUCGUCAAGUAGUGGUUCUUCUAAUGAGAUUGAGCCACUUAAGAUUGUCAGCAUGGGGUGAUGGCUUUGGCUAGCUGACCUACUCCAAACAGCCCCCCCCGACGGUGGGUGCCUCGACUGUGGUCUUUUAAAUAAUAGGUUAGUCCUCUGCAGAUACCCAACGCGCCCCGAAGGGGCGGCUUCGUUGCUAAUCUUUAUAAUCAUAAAAAAAAGCAAAAAAACAUAUUUAACGCUCGUAAGGCGUGUGAGUCUAUUCAUUUGCGUUUAUGAAUAUGAUAAGAAUUAACAACAGGUUCCCUAAUUUUGCCACGCCAGGCCUCUCCUCGCUUCCAUCUAUCUGUCCUUGUAUACUAUAAGCAUAUCUAUACAGAAUUUACAGUCCGACUGGUUUGGUAUACGAGUGUGAUCUUCCGUACUCCGAUUUGUCUAUCUCCUAUCAUUUGAGGAAGUUGUCCACCUUUUUUAGUUUGCUCGUCAGUACCCAGAUUCUGGUGCGUCCGUUUGUAUCAUCUCAUGACUCUUUUACACAGAUGAGUAGUCCAUUCUCGAUACUUAUUAAGCUUGGCAACUACUUAUAGAAGACAUUAUAAACUGACUACUUGAGCUUUCUGACCACAUCAUACUCUCACUUACUCGGACAAGCAUAUCAUGUACUGUCUCUAUCUAUUUUUAACUCUGUUCAUUCUGACUUGUUGCGAGGCUUAUACGAUAUGCAUGCAUGAGCAUUCCUUCUACAAUGUAACGUUCAUGCCGGCCUAGAAUCUGAUACCACAUUUAUCUUCAUAUGAUACAUGCAUCAUUGUUUCUAGUUAUAGCUUGAUACAUGCUGUACGUAUUUAUUAACCUAUGGCGCUGAUCGCAAUACGCUGAACAUUUACUUUCGUAUUGCAUAACAUAUAUCUGUUCUUAUAUAAUGCGCUAUUAUACUUUUCAAUGUUGUGAAUGUUUCUUACUCGUAUUAAAUGUCGUAAUCAGUUUCUGCUUAGUAUACAAUUACCUAUUGGGUACAUUGUAUCCAACUUUACUACCUAUGACUGAGAUAUUAUAUGACUAAACCUAGCUCUAUCUUAAUAUGCACCACGAUCGCUUGUGAUGAUUUAGAUGUUAGCAUGUUUUAAUAUGAUUGGAUCGCAUACUAUGAUAUAUGAUGGGUGAUCUAAUAUGGAUACAUGGUUUGGCGAAGCACGAGCUUGCACCCUAGUGGUACUUCUCUGAUAUAAAAAUCUAUUAGUAUUUCGCUGUGCUAAUUCUGUGCUUGUACUAUACUUGUAUGAACAUAUAAUUCUACACACUUGACUUGAUGUGAUUGGAAUUUACUGUGGUUGAAUACUUAGUGUUGAUGCUCGCGUGUUAGUGUCGGUCAUUACGACUUUGUUCCAACUUGGUGUGCGUAGUCAUGGAUAGAAUUAUACGUCUUUAUGUUAACCACUAUGUUUGGCGUAUGAGCCUUAUGCAACGUGAUGUUGAGGGCAUAAUAGUAUAUGAAUCUCCCUAACUAGUCCGAUGUAUGAUUGAGUGCUGUGCGCUGCUACUACUUCCACCGUGCUGCUGAUACGGAUUGAAAAUACACUUCGCCACCAAAUUACGGACUUAGAUAUACACUCGUUGUAAAUAUGUACUGAACUUAAUUACUACACCCUAGUCUGCUAUCAUUCGCUACUUUCCAUGAUUUAUGAGAUAGGUCCCGACCUAUCG